rnacentral:rRNA from 1 species
UCCUUCCUACGGGACGCAGCAGUGGGGGAUAUUGCACAAUGGGGGAAACCCUGAUGCAGCGACGCCGCGUGGGUGAAGAAGCGCCUCGGCGCGUAAAGCCCCGUCAGCAGGGAAGAAAAUGACGGUACCUGAAGAAGAAGCCCCGGCUAACUACGUGCCAGCAGCCGCGGUAAUACGUAGGGGGCAAGCGUUAUCCGGAUUUACUGGGUGUAAAGGGGGCGCAGACGGCGAUGCAAGCCAGGAGUGAAAGCCCGGGGCCCAACCCCGGGACUGCUCUUGGAACUGCGUGGCUAGCGUGCAGGGGG